rnacentral:lncRNA from 1 species
AACGUUAUGGUUCCUAGUCAGAUUCGCUAACCACUGCGCCACGACGGGAACUCCUGAUCUUUUCUAUUUUAAAUUUUAGGGGGGAAAACUAAGUUUUUUUUAGGUACGUUUAUAAAGAUACCUGAUCAAUCUCUUAGCUAUUGGGUACCAAACAUGCUCUGAUGAAGAGUUUUCCAGAACCAGGUUGAACUUGGUUCUCUGAGUUGAGGACGCAUUUGGUGUGAAAGCAGUUUUUGCUCUGUUUGUUUGCCUAAAAGGCUGGAAGAAGAUGUCUCUGAUUGUUUUGCAAUACAUGAACCCAGUGACUUUCCAGGGAGUUGUGGAGGGAUGAAGUUCAGCUGGCAAUCAUUGGCAGACCCCCAGCACCUCUGUUUGGGAGCUGUGACCUUUAAAUGAGUUCCUGAGAUUAAAGUUUAGUCCAGGGUGAGGCCACAUCUAGAGAAUUCUAUUUUUUUGAAUUUAUGAGAGAAAAAAAAAAAAGCCAUGGAAGAGGACACUUGAGAUCUUGGCCGUCAAGACAGGGAGGAGGCCAUUGGGUUUUAUGACAGUUCAGGCCACCAGCUCUGUGGUCAGCCACCGCCAGAGCUGAAUCUCAGUAACCCCAUGUGAUUGCUGUGUCAGUAGAAGCAAUUUAUGGCAUGUCUUCAAGUCUAGGUGUCCUGAUUUAUAACACAGGGUGAUAACCCAUUUCUUACAGUGUUUGCAAAGAUCAAACGGAGCCAUGUACAGAGGACUCUGCCUGGUGUCUGGCCCCCAGGGCAGUGGAUAAGAGACUGCCUGACCUAGAUGACCUGGGACAAGUCGCUCAAGCGGAGUAUUGGAGUUGGCCCAGGCGUGCAGAAGGAGGCAGAGAAGGAAAGAGCAAAGGAAUCUCCGUGUUCCGGAUGUACUUACAUGGAUAUCCUUGGGGGAGCUGGUUUAUAUGCGGCACGUUCCCUACACGAGGAGUUCCAGGAUAUUCACGUAAUAUUCCGCAGUGACCCCAAUCUGUGCUUAAGAAGUAGCCCGGGACACCAGGACUUUACCCCACUGUCUCAGCUGACUGCAGAUGAGAACUGGCUUUGGGAAGGAGCCUCAGAGAGUCCUGUGUGUGGCAGGUUAUCAUUAGCCUUCUCUUCCGGAGAAAUCGCAUUACUGUCAAAUCAGAAUCAUUUUAAGCCUUUAGAUGCUUAUUUGUUCUGA